CACCAUCAUGUCAUUGGACGAUACACUAAAGUAUACCUUCAUCAAGUAUACUUUAGUGUAUCGUCACCAUCAUGUCCUCCAAUGACAUAGUAGAGUUUGGACAUAGCCGAAUAGUGCUUUUCCAGAUCCUUCAUUUUUAAUGAACAAUGAAGACAUUAACCCUACUAAAGCCACACACAUGGGAAUGUCACCCACAGACCUAGCCCUUGCCCGAUCGGAGCCGAGAGCUGUUCAUUCUAUAAUCCUCAUGCUGUAAACUCAAGGCAUAUGAGUAUCCUCAAGCUAAGACCACAAAGAGGCACCUUGCCAUGGGGGGUCUUUCUGCUCUUUUGGACCUCGAUAGCCGAGUUAGCCCUUUUGGAUCAUAGAAGAAACAGAUCGUAGCAAUAAUUAGUUCAUUGCCAUUGGAUCGAGGAGAAGAGAAGUGAGAAGUUUAAAAUGCCAUAAGAGAGAGAGAGAGAGAGAGAGUAUAGAAGAGAGGGAAGCUUGCUUAGAGGAAACUUGCUUAAUUUUUAUUCAAAAUGACUUCUCCUUAUAUAGAGAGAAGCAAUGAUACAAUAUGACAAAAGGAGACCAAGUGGGAAUCCCACUUGCACUCCACUUACAACAAUAAUUCACAAAAGUAAUUCACAUGCAUAAUAGGACAAGGUCCUAAUAAUGCACUCCACUCACGACUUAUAAUUCACUCCACUCACAAAAGUAAGUCACAUGUAUAAUAGGACAAGAUCCUAAUAAUGCACUCUAUUGUCAAAAGACUAAUAAUACAAAGGGGAAAAAGUAAUAAUGGUCGACAGCUUUAAUUAUUCUGUGGAGAUAAUGCACCGAAAAACUGUCAUAUCGUUUGUCCAGCACAUGUAUACGACGUAUUUUAGAAAAUAUCGUCAUAUUGGUCAUCAUCCAUUGGCUGGGAAUCUUGCAUGAGAGCUUCUUUUUGUGCACUGGUUAGGCUAGGAUCAUCCAGUGGGGUCGGAAGAAUAGGAAAUGGGAAAUGUUCAAUGGAUUGUCCAGUUGACAGAUGUCCAUUGAAGGUGCAGACUAAUGGUGCAGAGACAUUAACUGUCCUUAACUCAUUCCUGUAUUGCAGGACCCGCUUUAGUUCUUCUAUGAUUGCUGGAGGAGCAAGAUGUAAAGGACUAUCAAGUGUUCUCCAAUAGUGACAGAUAUUUUGAGUUGCAUAUGUGUCUUCUGACAGUCGGAGAUAAGGCCUGUGCAAUAUGAAAAUGGCAUGGUAUUCCGAAGCUCUGAAAUUGUUGUCUGAGAAUAACUAGUGCUCAUGAAUAAGUUUAAGGAGAUCUCCUGUCCAUUGAUAUGGAGUUUUGAACCAGGUAAGGAAUCUCCAUGGAUAUGACCCC
rnacentral:lncRNA from 1 species